rnacentral:miRNA from 1 species
UAAUCCCUUGAGCCCAGCGGUUCGAGGCUACAAUGAGAUGUGAUCCUGCCACAUCUCACUGUAGCCUCAAACCCUUGGGCUCAAGCGAUUCAGCAAGAAUCACACGAUUUUC